rnacentral:rRNA from 1 species
GUAGGGGCCGAGCGUUGUCCGGAAUUACUGGGCGUAAAGCGCGCGCAGGCGGCUGAUCAAGCCUGACGUGAAAGCCCCCGGCUCAACCGGGGAGGGUCGUCGGGGACUGGUUGGCUUGAGGGCGGUAGGGGCCGGUGGAAUUCCCGGUGUAGUGGUGAAAUGCGUAGAGAUCGGGAGGAACACCAGAGGCGAAGGCGGCCGGCUGGGCCGACCCUGACGCUGAGGCGCGAAGGCGUGGGGAGCGAACGGGAUUAGAUACCCCGGUAGUCCACGCAGUAAACGAUGCAGACUAGGCGUGGGGGGACUUGACCCCCUCCGUGCCGCAGCCAACGCGAGAAGUCUGCCGCCUGGGGAGUACGGCCGCAAGGCUA